rnacentral:lncRNA from 1 species
GGGCUCUGAGGAAGAUUCCAAUCGUCUCUGACCUUUCCACGGUGAACUAAAGGUACCAAAGCUCUCAUCUCGUCUCUAAUUUCAUUUUGUCACCUAGAUCGAACCCUAGGGUAGUAGUUCGCCAUCAACUGGAGUUGGGGAAGCUCCGUCUUCCUUUUCCCCCGUUGAAACCAGGCCGUUGGGCUAGCUCACCCAAAACCUAAUCAAACCAAGCCCAUUUGGGCUGUGUAUAGAACUUGGGCCUUAGGCCCGAUUAAACCCAAACCCUUUUAUGUUUAUUUUAUUUUAUUUUAUAAUCCAAACCCAAACCCUUUCGGUCUUAGGCCUUAAGGCCGUGUAGGCUUAGGCCUUCGGGCUUUUGCAUCAAGCUCGUGUAAACCCUUAACCCAAGACCAAAGGCUUCGGCCCGUGAGCGUUAAACCCAACCCAAAACCCUUAGAACCUAAACCCUUUGGUUUGAUGCCUUUGGGCUAUUCACUUAGGGCUUUAGGCCCGAUUAACCCUAAACCCUUUUCCCUUUGAGUCGGGCCUUAAGCCCAAAACCCUUUGGACCCAAACCCAAGCAACUCAGGCCCAAACCCUUUAAGCCUUGACCUAGCCCACUGGACAGGUCUGACCCGUGGACCCAGACCCAGUUGACCCAACCUAGACUGUUGACUUUGACCCGUUCCGGUCUGACCAUUGACUUUGUUGACUUUUUUCUAGUUUUCGUUCGGGACCCUUCCUAGGCUAAUUUCGACGUCCUGGACCUGAUUUUUACGUCUUUUUUUCCAAAUUUAAUCGUUUGAAUAGAGUUUUAUUAAUUGGACCCUUUAUGUGCUUAGGUGAAUUUAUUAUGGCAUUUCCGGCUUCGCUAGUUUACGUGACUCUUCAGCGGUGAAGUAUUUGUGAAUGGACCCCUUCUGAAAUGCAUAUUUUAAUAGUAGAAAUGCAUAUAUAAAAAGCAUGAUUUAAUGAUUACGUUUUAUGAGAUAUUAUGCUUACUUAUAAUAUUUUGGAAUACAAUAUUUUCUAUCGAACCCAUGUUCUUUGUAGGAUAUCUGAUGGAUGAUGAUAUACUACUUAGAACAUGUUUUUACACACUUCUUUAUAAUAUAGAUGAUGGAUGCCUUUAUACUAUGAAGAUGUUUUUGAGAUAUAUAUACAUACAUUUGGAAAGUCUAUAUUCAAUGUUUUUGUGCGUAUCUAAUGGUCACUGUUCUACCUACGAGUGAUGUUACUUAUAUUGCCUUCGGGCAGGCGUGUGUAGGGCACUGUUCUGUGCAUAUGAGAGAUACUGAUAUUGAUACCACUAGUUAGCACACUAUAUAUGAGAUAUGUUUUAUGGAAAGGUUUUAUGGCAUGCUAGGGUUUUCAGAAAACCUACUACAUAUUAUGCUAUUGAUGUUUUCAUAAAACUUUGAGGGUUAGCAUGUUGAUAAUUGUUUCAAUAUUAUAUAUAUAUAUAUAUAUAUAUAUAUAUAUAUAUAUAUAUCAACUUGGUUCAUUCAUGUUUGUUUUGCACCCCCCAG